rnacentral:lncRNA from 1 species
AUGCUUUGGAUCUUAAAUCCCCUCCAAAGGCCAUUGUUUGACCUCCAACCUGCAGUGCUACCUAAGGGCGCAGGGGCAGCAUCUCAGAGGUGAGACUUGAGAGGAAGGACAUUGAGUCACUGAGGACUGCUGCUUCCUAUUGAUAAAAGCCCAGGCCAGAUAAAUUGAACAAAGUUAAUGAAUAGAAAAUGCUCUUGCACUGGGCAACAUUCCAGACCAAAGACAAUCCAGAAGGCCCCUCCUCACUACAUGUCAAUUGAGCUCAGGCCCCUUGUGCUUGCUGACUAGAUGCUGUACUUCUGAGCUCAGAAACACCUUCCCUGGAAAACAACAGCAACCUUUAAUGCUUAGUUCUCUAGGAGCUAGAGAGAUGGAUCAGUGGUCAACAGCAUUGAGUGCUCUUCCAGAGGUCUAUGGUUGGAUUCCCAGCACCCACAUGGAAGCUCACAAGAUCUGACACCUGCACACAGACAGAACAAAAGAUAACAGGCAAAACACCAAGAUAAAGGAGCUGUGAAGCCAUCUGAGGGAGAGUUUCACUGGGAUCGGUAUCUGAGGGACAGAAGAUCCACUCCUGCAAUUGAAAGAAAGAUGAAAUUUUAAGACCUUAACCCAGAGCUGUUCCUGGUCUUCUCUCAAAGCCUCUGGUUCUGGGAAAGCCCUUGGUCUUGGGUAAAGAGACAAGAAAAGGGACUAACUAAGCUUAGUGAAGUAUAGACAUCUGGGAUGAGAUAGCAAAUCAAGUCUACCAGUGAGCCGAAACAGCCUCCGCAGAUGAGGGAAUGGGACGCUAACCUGGAGGAUUCCACAGGCUGCACUCAGAGGAAAAUGCAGAUACUAGAGCAGACGAUCACAUCGAGGUACCCGGUUAGGUCAAGAAGGAUGUGAGGCGAACCUUCAGAUGUGGCUGCAACCCAGCCACACCCAGCCUGGGUCUGCCCGGGCUCUGCUGUCCUUUCUGCAGGCAAUUUCAGUUCAGUGUUGCUUUACAGUAUUGAUUUGGGAUGGGCUAUUGGCCUUCACGAUUAUAGCUACAGAAAUGUAAUUUCUAGAUGAAACAUGGAAUAGAUCCAAGCAGAAAAUGUGAACACAAGAGUUUUCAGAGUAAAGUUAGGAAAGCAUUGUCACUAUCAAAGAGAAUGCUUUACUAAUCUCGAAUAGCAGAAUAUUCUGGCUUCAUAUGUCAUAUAUAUAUAUAUAUAUAUAUAUAUACACACACACAUAUAUACACAUAUAUAAAUGUAUUUAAAUAUAUACAGAUAAUAUAUUUAUUAUAUAUAAACAACAUAAUGAAAUAUAUGAUAUAGCAUAUAUCUAUAUUUAUAUAUAGAUAUAUAAAUACAAUAUAUAUUGUUUUAAAACACAGAAAUAGUUGAGAAAUCACCCACCUAAUGUUGCAGUGCUCUUAUGUCUGCCUCCUAGGAUGAUAGAAAUGGGCCACAAUUCCUGGCUUCCAACUCAUUUUUAAAAAGAGUGAGUGCAUCAUUGGUAAAUGGCAAAACUGAAAUAUAAAAGGAAAAGAAACUUAUGAUUCAUAACUAAAUAGCGAAACCCGGAAGUAUCCAGUAGCAAAUGAGCUGAAUGUCAAGCAUGUGAAUAGUCAUGGGAAGCAAGGCGUAUUCCUCUGGGGAAAGACAUCAUCAAUGGUACUGAGAGAAAAAUGUGAAACUAUAACGCCUUUAAAAAACUUGGUGUAGCCUCAUUGCACGUGGUACUGGAUUUCACAAAGGCUCUUACACAUUCUCACACUUUCUCACGCAUUCUCCAUUCUCACACAUUCUCACGCAUUCUCACACAGGUAUAUGAUGAACUUUGGGUGUGUUCCUGUUUCAUGACUCCCCUUUCUGCUCUCCCUUCUCUUUAGUCCCUUUGAUUUCCUUACACAGUUUCAUUUCUACUUAAUGUCAUAUAUGCAUAGCUGAUUUUAUGAAUCUAUAAAAAUAUAGGAAGCACAAGUCAGAGAACUCAUGUAAUAUUUGUCUUUGAGUAGCUCAAUAUAAUAAUCUCCCAAUGUGUCUAUUUUCCUACAAAUGGCAUAACUAUAUUCUUUAUGGCUGAAUAAAAUUGUAUUGCGUAAGUAUAUCAUAUUUUCUUAGCCUGUUCUUCCGUUAGCGAAUACCUAAACUAGCUCCAUAGUGUCUGCCAUGAGUGCUGUAAUAAAUAUUGCUGUACAAG